rnacentral:rRNA from 1 species
GAUGAACGCUGGCGGCGUGCUUAACACAUGCAAGUCGAACGAAUCACUUUAUUUGAUUUCCUUCGGGACUGAUUAUUUUGUGACUGAGUGGCGGACGGGUGAGUAACGCUUGGGUAACCUGCCUUGUACAGGGGGUUAACAGUUGGAAACGGCUGCUAAUACCGCAUAAGCGCACAGCAUCCCAUGAUUCCGUGUGAAAAACUCCGGUGUUAUAAGAUGGACCCUCGUUGGAUUAGCUAGUUGGUGAGGUAACGGCCCACCAAGGCGACGAUCCAUAGCCGACAGGAGAGGGUGACCGGCCACAUUGGGACUGAGACACGGCCCAAACUCCUACGGGAGGAAGAAGUGGAGAAUAUUGCACAAUGGGCGAAAGCCUGAUGCAGCGACGCCGCGUGAGCGAAGAAGUAUUUCGGUAUGUAAAGCUGUAUCAGCAGGGAAGAUAAUGACGGUACCUGACUAAGAAGCACCGGCUAAAUACGUG